AUACUAAGAAAGGUUAAAUAACUUGUUCAAAUGUGCACAGAUAGAAGGGGGAGAGCUAGGAUUUUCACCUAGGCAUCUUGGUUCAGCAUUCACACCUGACAACUAUGAAGAGUCAGCCCUGGGUUGUUAAGAC